CUUUAUGCCAACCUACACAUUCAUUCUGAACUGUUUUCUGAUGUUCCCAACAACAGAGCACUUUAAAGCAAGCAUUCAGUUAAUAAAUCGUACCAGCUCAUUGCUAUUGUUUCCCUGAAAUCCGUCAUUAACAACUAGUAAUAAAGAAAUAAUGCAGCAGAGGCUGUAGCUACAGAGAUAUAUUCAACCUAUGCCAGGGGAGAAUAAAUCGUCUGAGGUACAUGAGGAUAUUUCCAAAUCAGAGGGCAAAGAAGUCACUGCAAAUUAUUACAAUGUAAUUUUACUGCAAGUAGUGCACGACAAGAUUAUAGGGACAGUUCUCUUUCACAUAAGAAGAUAUCUGUAUCUAGAGCAUAUCAAGUAAGCCAAAUGUCUAGAAACAUCAGUGAAAAUGUUUAAUUAGUUUUAGAUAAGUUGCAAGAACCACUUCAGUGACUACAUCCAGCGAGAGCCAAACAUUCACUGCCUCUUGUGUGAGUUGUCCUGGUUUGCUCUGAAAAAGUGGGAAUGCUCCCAAGACCUUUACUCUUUGAGAAGUCUGACUAGUUCAACGGACUUGAUAAGAUACAACAGUGAGAUCCUGAUGGAGAGCAGCCUUGUCUUUGUUAGAGUAUGGGAUGUAUUUUGUUUUAUCAAUCUUCUCUCCAAAAACGUGGCAGUAAAAGUAGUCCCUAUGACUAUUGUGCCUUGUUUGUCUUUACAUUUCUUUUUAGUAUUGUGGAGUUUCAUGCAUUUUGUGUUUUCAUUCAAGCUCCAGUUCCUGGAAUUCCAGCGUGACUUGAGCAAUUCAGAUUGUAUUGCAAGAAAAAGUUAGUUCUGGCAUUCCCUUGCAGAGAGUGAUUUGAAAACCUGACUCACAACCGUCCUGCAGUCUCAGAAACAAGGCGGCAGCUCCCGUCUAAAUCUACAGACAGCACUUCAUGUAUGAAUCAUUUCUUGGUGACUUGCAAAACUCUUCUGAGAUGAGAAUCAGGAACACUGCUUUAAGGAGGAAAUGGAGAUGUACAGUCAGUGUGCACAGAAGACAUGGCAAGUAGGCUCCAAAGACAGAGCAGACUUAAAAGACACCCUCCGCACUAGAAUUGCCCCGGGACUCUGCUGAAGAAAAGAAGCUCUUGAGCAACUUGCAGAAUCGCCUCUUCCAUUGUUUCUGAAGAAUUCUUUUCACUGCAUUCCUCGGGCUGUCAUGAAUUGCACAACCAGCUCUUCCAGCUCGAGCAGAGCUGAACCUGAGAUCUGUAUCUUCCGACAGAACAGUCAUUAACUUAGGUCGUUACUGUGCACACGUACAUGCGUGCUAAACGAUCCUUAAAGAUCCUUAGAGUUAAGAAAACUUGAAAGUCUUGAAAGUAAGAUGAAGUAGGAACACGCCAACCCACCUUGCCUGUUUACUAUGAGGCAGUCUUUAAUUCCAUACUAAUUUUAUGAUUUCAUUUCAUUUCAUUUCAUUUCAUUUCAUUUCAUUUCAUUUCAUCUCAUUUCAUUUCAUUUCUCUAAUGUAUUUUGAAUCCAGUCGUAAGAAUACAGUGAAAGCAUGAGCUAUAUGUAAUGUGAAAUAUUUGUUUUCACUAGCCCCCUUCAGCUGCUUAGUGGAGCAUGCUAAGGUCUGGAGCUUUUUGGGAUCAUUGCCAUUAAACUAAGUAGCAAUGACUUUUAAUUCAAUAAACCAGUUUUUUAUUCAGCAACUUUUAAACCUGCCAGGUUCUUGUGAAAAAUGCUGAAUGAGAGGUUCCAACAGUCGUUCCAAACAUGUAGGUCAAUUGGGGGAAAAAUUAAUUUUCUUGUUCUAAAAAUCAGGCUUGAAUGCAACAAUUUGUGUAUUUCUUGCAUGACAUGGUCUAGUUAGUUUGCCAGUUAUAUGAUGAGGGAUAAAGAAGGAGUGAAUAAUAGGAAAGUACAGCCAACUAAAUGUCCUCCACACAACUAGUAUGUAACAUUCCUUUGCUAAAAAAAGUUAGCAUUAUAUAGUUUAGGCAAAAUUCUUGGACUGUGUUAUUAGAUGUAAAAAGUAAAAAAAUAACCUUACAUG